rnacentral:tRNA from 1 species
GAGGGCAUAGCUCAGUGGUAGAGUGUGUGCUUAGCCUGCAUGAGGUCCUGGGUUCAACCCCCAAUACCGCCA